GUGGGGAAUAUUGGACAAUGGGCGAAAGCCUGAUCCAGCCAUGCCGCGUGUGUGAAGAAGGUCUUCGGAUUGUAAAGCACUUUAAGUUGGGAGGAAGGGCAGUAAGUUAAUACCUUGCUGUUUUGACGUUACCGACAGAAUAAGCACCGGCUAACUUCGUGCCAGCAGCCGCGGUAAUACGAAGGGUGCAAGCGUUAAUCGGAAUUACUGGGCGUAAAGCGCGCGUAGGGGGUUUUGUAAGUUGGAGGUGAAAUCCCCGGGCUCAACCUGUGAACUGCCUCCAAAACUGCAUGACUAGAGUACGGUAGAGGGUAGUGGAAUUUCCUGGGUAGCGGUGAAAUGCGUAGAUAUAGGAAGGAACACCAGUGGCGAAGGCGACUACCUGGACUGAUACUGACACUGAGGUGCGAAAGCGUGGGGAGCAAACAGGAUUAGAAACCCUGGUAGUCC
rnacentral:rRNA from 1 species